rnacentral:rRNA from 1 species
CAAUAGCGUAUAUUAAAGUUGUUGCGGUUAAAAAGCUCGUAGUUGGAUUUCUGCCGAGGACGACCGGUCCGCCCUCUGGGUGAGUAUCUGGUUCGGCCUGGGCAUCUUCUUGGAGAACGUAUCUGCACUUGACUGUGUGGUGCGGUAUCCAGGACUUUUACUUUGAGGAAAAUAGAGUGUUCAAAGACAGGCGAUUGCCUUGAAUACAUUAGCAUGGGAUAAUGAAAUAGGACGUUGGUUCUAUUUUGUAUGGUUUACGGACCGACGUAAUGAUUAAUAGGGACAGUUGGGACGAUUUAUAUUCCAUGGUUAGAGGUGAAAUUCUUGGAUUCAUGGAAGAUAAACUACUGCGAAAG